AGAUACUAGUGUGUCAUUCUGCCAGACCAUAUUUAUAUAAUAUAAUGUUUUUAGGUGAAGAGAUACUGGUGUGUCAUUCUGCCAGACCAUAUUUAUAUAAUAUAAUGUUUUUAGGUGAAGAGAUACUGGUGUGUCAUUCUGCCAGACCAUAUUUAUAUAAUAUAAUGUUUUUAGGUGAAGAGAUACUGGUGUGUCAUUCUGCCAGACCAUAUUUAUAUAAUAUAAUGUUUUUAGGUGAAGAGAUACUGGUGUGUCAUUCUGCCAGACCAUAUUUAUAUAAUAUAAUGUUUUUAGGUGAAGAGAUACUGGUGUGUCAUUCUGCCAGACCAUAUUUAUAUAAUAUAAUGUUUUUAGGUGAAGAGAUACUGGUGUGUCAUUCUGCCAGACCAUAUUUAUAUAAUAUAAUGUUUUUAGGUGAAGAGAUACUGGUGUGUCAUUCUGCCAGACCAUAUUUAUAUAAUAUAAUGUUUUUAGGUGAAGAGAUACUGGUGUGUCAUUCUGCCAGACCAUAUUUAUAUAAUAUAAUGUUUUUAGGUGAAGAGAUACUGGUGUGUCAUUCUGCCAGAACAUAUUUUCUGUUACGUUCUUUGUGAUGGUUUUGUGCAUAAUGUUUUUUAGGAAUAGUAUUGGUUUUGCGUCCCAAAUUUAACUUUUAUUCCAGAAGUAGUGCACUACUUAGCUACAGACAAUACUCCAUAAUGACAAAGCAAAAACAGGUUUUUAGACAUUUUUGCUAAUUUAUUAAAAAAUAAACUGAAUUAUCACAUUUACAUAAGUAUUCAGACCCUUUACUCAGUACUUUGUUGAAGCAUCUUUGUCAGCGAUUACAACCUUGAGUCUUCUUGGGUAUGAUGCUACAAGGUUGGCACACCUGUAUUUGGGGAGUUUCUCCCAUUCUUCUCUGCAGAUCCUCUCAGGUUGGAUGGGGAGCGUCGCUGCACAGCUAUUUUCAGGUCUCUACAGAGAUGUUAGAUCGGGUUCAAGUCCAGGCUCUGAGGUCCUGAGCGCUCUGGAGCAGGUUUUAAUCAAAUAUCUCUCUGUACUUUGCUCCGUUCAUCUUUGCCUCGAUCCUGACCAGUGUCACAGUCCCUACCACUGAAAAACAGCCCCACAGCAUGAUGCUGCCACCACCAGGUUUCCUCCAGAUGUGAUGCUUGGCAUUCAGGCCAAAUAGUUCAAUCUUGGUUUCAUCAGACCAGAGAAUCUUGUUUCUCAUGGUCUGAGAGUCCUUUAGGUGCUUUUCACUGAGGAGUGGCUUCCGUCUGGCCACUCUACCAUAAAGGCCUGAUUGGUGGAGUGCUGCAGAGAUGGUUGUCCUUCUGGAAGGUUCUCCCAUCUCCACAGAGGAACUCUGGAGCUCUGUCAGAGUGACCAUCGGGUUAUUGGUCACCUCCCUGACCAAGGCCCGUCUACCCCGAUUGCUCAGUUGGGCCGGCAAAAGAUUCUUGGUGGUUCCAAACUUCUUCCAUUAAAGAAUGAUGGAGGUCACUGCAUUGCUGCAGAAAUAUUUUGGUACCCUUCCACAGAUCUGUGCCUCGACACAGUCCUGUCUCUGAGCUCUACGGACAAUUCCUUUGAACUCAUGGCUUGGUUUUUGCUCUGACAUGCACUGUCAACUGUGGGACCUUAUAUAGACAGGUGUGUGCCUUUUUCCAGAUCAUGUCCAAUUAAUUUGAAUUUACCACAGGUGGACUCCAAUCAAGUUGUAGAAACCUCUCAACGAUGAUCAAUGGAAACAGGAUCCACCUGAGCUCAAUUUUGAUUCUCAUAGCAAAGGGUCUGAAUACUUAUGUAAAUUACGUAUGUAUGUAAAUAAGGUAUUUCUGUUUAUAUUUGACCCCUUUCUCCCCAAUUUCGUGUCAUCCAAUUGUUUUCAGUAGCUACUAUCUUGUCUCAUCGGAAUUGUUGUUGACCAGAUCAAUGUUGAUGUGUUAAAAAAAAACGGUCUUAUAUUCUUUGAUUGUAAGAGCCGUGGUUUAGUGGUAACACUCCCUCUUAUCACAUACCAACUUCCGGCGCCGACGGAGAUGGCCGCCUCGCUUCAUGUUCCUAUGAAAAAACGAUGCAGAUUUGAUUUACUGUAUGUGACUCUGACGGAGACCCCAGGGGUUUUAAAUCGACCCUUCUGCCUUUCUCUGGCUCUAUAUCUUCUUCUAAUAUGUCAAAUGACUGCAUCCAGUUUGCUGAGUAGAGUGUUUGAGGUUAUUUUGUAGAUGACAUCGCUGAAGUCGAGGAUCGGUAGGAUGGUCAGUUUUACGAGGGUAUGUUUGGCAGCGUGAGUGAAGGAGGCUUUGUUGCGAAAUAGGGAGCCGAUUCUAGAUGUAAUAUUGGAUUGGAGAUGCUCAACAUGAGUCUGGAAGGAGAGUUUACAGUCUAACCAGACACCUAGGUAUUUGUAGCUCUGGAUAAGAGCGUCUGCUAAAUGAAUGACUUAAAUGUAAAUGUAAAUGUAGUUGUCCACAUAUUCCAAGUCAGAACCGUCCAGAGUAGUGAUGCUCGUCGGGCGGGCGGGUGCGGGCAUCGAUCGGUUGAAGAGCAUGCACUUAGUUUUAGACAUUUUUUCUAAAAACUUGUUUUGGCUUUGUCAUUAUGGGGUAUUAUGUGUAAAUUGGUGAGAAAUAAAAAUACAUUUAGAAUAACUUAACAAAA